GAUUGGAGGCUGAGGAGAAUCAUAAUACUUUUUGAGCCAAAACUGUGAAACAAGAUAUAUUCAAAGACAUGUAGUUCCCCUUGCUGCUCCCUGUAUUGCAUUUCUUCCUUCUGUGUUUGGUAAGAGGCAGCACACUGCACAGCUUGCUCCACGGUUUUCUUUCUGUGUAACUGUCGACCGAGCGUAAACGACUCGGGAGACCUCGCUGGAAUCAAAUGACAAAGUUCUCUUCGAGGUCUGAAGUGAGGGAGUUACAAUUUUGGAGCGCUCUCGGGCAGUACCCAGUGUCCCGAAGAAACAGUUGAGCGUUUUUAUGGCCCAGAGCACAUUCUCGAGGAGACAGUCCUGCAUCCUUGGCGCGGCCCCCAGGUGCGGACAGCAUUCUUUCCGAGCCCUCCAGACGGUCCUCACUUGGCUCUCCGCACCCCCAAGCACUGAUGCACCAAUGAGACGUUCCAGUUUCCAGGCCGAAGUAAAACAAAAUCCUUUUGCUCACGUUUCCGCCCACUCGGGUGUUUGUUUCUCCAUUCUUUCCUCACCCCUGUCCUGUUCCACAGGCUCUGCCCUCCAUCCUCUAGCUGCUGCCUGGGUCUCUGGCAGGUGGCUGCCCGGGGUUGCAGCAUUCUCCUCUUGGUGGCUGUUUGGAUGGUUUCCAGACUUUGGCUAUUCCCUGUCGUGCUGCCGAGAAUAUCUGGCUUUGGGGUGGAGGGGCCAGAGCCGAUGCGGAGCCCGGGGAAGAGGGCAUUGUAAUAAUCUGUGAACGAGUUGGUGGUGGCCUACAGCCAGGAUGAGCCAGUGGGGACGGAGGGGAGUGGAUACAUUUGAAGGAUAGUUAAGAGGUGGAUUAGCAACAUUUAUUGAUGGACUGGAGAUGGGGCAUGUGGGAGAAGGAGGAUUCAAGAACAACCCAGGCUUCUGCCUUGGUGGUUGGGUGCCUGGUGGCUCCUUGCUUUCCCCAUCUCCUUGUCCUCCGUGGCGCCCCCUCCAGGCA